GUCUUUUUGAUUAAUAAUUUAAAGUCUAAUCUGCCCACUGAUGAUAAUAUUAAAGGGCUGCAGUAUUUUGACUGUACAAAGGUAGCAUAAUCAUUAGUCUCUUAAUUGGUGACUUGUAUGAAAGAUUUGAUGAAAUAUAUACUGUCUCUUUUUAAUUUGUAAAAUUUAAUUUUUUAGUUAAAAAGCUAAAAUAUAUUUAAAAGACGAGAAGACCCUAUAGAGUUUUAUAUUUAAUUAAAUUAGAAUUUUUUAUAAGAUUUAUAAUUUUGAUUUUUUAAAAUAUUAUGUUGGGGUGACAGAAAAAUUAAAGUAACUUUUUUUAUAAAUUUACAUUUAUAAGUGAGUAAAUGAUCCGUAAUUUACGAUUAUAAGAAAAAAUUACCUUAGGGAUAACAGCGUAAUUUUUUUUUUUAGUUCAAAUAAGAAAAAAAGUUUGCGACCUCGAUGUUGGAUUAAGAUAAAAUUUAAAUGCAAAAGUUUAAAAUUUUUGAUCUGUUCGAUCAUUAAAAUCUUACA
rnacentral:rRNA from 1 species